UACGGGGGGGGCAAGCGUUGUUCGGAAUUACUGGGCGUAAAGGGCUCGUAGGCGGCCAACUAAGUCGGACGUGAAAUCCCCAGGCUCAACCUGGGAACUGCGUCCGAUACUGGAUGGCUUGAAUCCGGGAGAGGGAUGCAGAAUUCCAGGUGUAGCGGUGAAAUGCGCAGAUAUCGGGAGGAACACCAGCGGCGAAGGCGGCACUCUGGGCUGGAACUGACGCUGAGGAGCGAAAGCGUGGGUAGCAAACAGG
rnacentral:rRNA from 1 species